GAAUUUUCCGCAAUGGGCGAAAGCCUGACGGAGCAAUACCGCGUGAGGGAAGACGGCCUAUGGGUUGUAAACCUCUUUUCUCAGGGAGGAACUCAAUGACGUGUACCUGAGGAAUAAGCAUCGGCUAACUCCGUGCCAGCAGCCGCGGUAAGACGGAGGAUGCAAGUGUUAUCCGGAAUCACUGGGCGUAAAGCGUCUGUAGGCGGUUUAAUAAGUCAACUGUUAAAUCUUGAGGCUCAACUUCAAAAUCACAGUCGAAACUAUUAGACUAGAGUAUAGUGGGGGUAAAGGGAAUUUCCAGUGGAGCGGUGAAAUGCGUAGAGAUUGGAAAGAACACCGAUGGCGAAGGCACUUUACUGGGCUAUUACUAACACUCAGAGACGAAAGCUAGGGUAGCAAAUGGGAUUAGAUACCCCAGUAGUC
rnacentral:rRNA from 1 species